GAUGAACGCUGGCGGCGUGCCUAAUACAUGCAAGUCGAGCGAUCAGACUAGGAGCUUGCUCCUCUGACGUUAGCGGCGGACGGGUGAGUAACACGUGGAUAACCUCCCUUUGAGACUGGGAUAACUUCUGGAAACCGGUGCUAAUACCGCAUAAUAUCUUUAACCACAUGUUUUAAUUUUGAAAGACGCUUUUGCUUUCCCUUAUGAUUGUAUCCGGGCCGCUUUAGCUAGUUGUUACGGUAACGCCUUACCAAGGCAACGAUGCGAAGCCGCCCUGAGAGGGUGAUCGGCCACAUUGGAACUGGGAAACGGUCCAAACUCCUACGGGAGGCAGCAGUAGGGAAUCUUGCGAAAUGGGCGAAAGCCUGACGGAGCAACGCCGCGUGAGGGAUGAAGGUCUUCGGAUCGUAAAACUCGGUUAUUAGGGAAGAACAAAUGUGUAAGUAAAUAUGCAAGUAUUGACGGUAACUAAUCAGAAAGCCACGGCUAACUACGUG
rnacentral:rRNA from 1 species